rnacentral:sRNA from 1 species
UCUUCAGUGCUCUUUCCUCUCUCUUUCUCUGAGCUUGUGCUGAAUCAUAUAACUGCAAGAUGUUACAGAUGACACAGUCUUUUCUUUAUUCUUCUCUUUAUUUUUCUUUUCAGAAUAUUUAUUUUUUCUUCUUUUCUUUUAUCUAUCUCAUCUGUCUUUCUUCUGUUGUUAGAAGUGUAGAUAGUUCUCAGAUCAUCUGAAAGAGUUAUCUCUCUUCAUUCACUAUAAAGUCUUUCAAACAUAACAGCAGUGGUUCUCUCAGAAACCACACUAUAGUCUUAUCAUGAAUGGUCAUACAUUGAGUC